rnacentral:rRNA from 1 species
GAUGAACGCUGGCGGCGUGCCUAAUACAUGCAAGUCGAGCGAACAGACGAGGAGCUUGCUCCUCUGACGUUAGCGGCGGACGGGUGAGUAACACGUGGAUAACCUACCUAUAAGACUGGGAUAACUUCGGGAAACCGGAGCUAAUACCGGAUAAUAUAUUGAACCGCAUGGUUCAAUAGUGAAAGACGGUUUUGCUGUCACUUAUAGAUGGAUCCGCGCCGCAUUAGCUAGUUGGUAAGGUAACGGCUUACCAAGGCGACGAUGCGUAGCCGACCUGAGAGGGUGAUCGGCCACACUGGAACUGAGACACGGUCCAGACUCCUACGGGAGGCAGCAGUAGGGAAUCUUCCGCAAAGGGCGAGAGCCUGACGGAGCAACGCCGCGUGAGUGAUGAAGGUCUUCGGAUCGUAAAACUCUGUUAUUAGGGAAGAACAAAUGUGUAAGUAACUAUGCACGUCUUGACGGUACCUGAUCAGAAAGCCACGGCUAACUACGUG